rnacentral:lncRNA from 1 species
UUCCCACGCGCACGUACGACCCAGAUCAAAGGCGCGCGUGGAUGACCCAGAUCUCACGCGUACGGACGGUCCAGAUUUGAUCACGCACGGACUGCCCAGAUCGCAUCGUGAUGGACAGCCCAGAUUUAUUUUCAAUUUAAUUACGAUCGGACGGUUCAGAUUAAAUCAUGAUGGACGGCUUAACGUUGUCUGGUGAUGGUAUUUGACAUCACUUAACGUUGUCUUUUUUCGUUCUUAUUUUGCAAACCAAACAGGUUGUAUGUUUAUAUUUUGGUUCGAUUUGUAAUUUGAAAAAGAAAACUAAAAGUAAACAAUCAACAUAAUACAUAUGAAAUU